GAUGAACGCUGGCGGCGUGCCUAAUACAUGCAAGUCGAGCGAACGGACGAGAAGCUUGCUUCUCUGAUGUUAGCGGCGGACGGGUGAGUAACACGUGGAUAACCUACCUAUAAGACUGGGAUAUCUUCGGGAAACCGGAGCUAAUACCGGAUAAUAUUUUGAACCGCAUGGUUCAAAAGUGAAAGACGGUCUUGCUGUCACUUAUAGAUGGAUCCGCGCUGCAUUAGCUAGUUGGUAAGGUAACGGCUUACCAAGGCAACGAUGCAUAGCCGACCUGAGAGGGUGAUCGGCCACACUGGAGCUGAGACACGGUCCAGACUCCUACGGGAGGCAGCAGUAGGCAAUCUUCCGCAAUGGGCGAAAGCCUGACGGAGCAACGCCGCGUGAGUGAUGAAGGUCUUCGGAUCGUAAAACUCUGUUAUUAGGGAAGAACAUAUGUGUAAGUAACUGUGCACAUCUUGACGGUACCUAAUCAGAAAGCCACGGCUAACUACGUG
rnacentral:rRNA from 1 species